UACGAAGGGGGCUAGCGUUGCUCGGAAUCACUGGGCGUAAAGCGCACGUAGGCGGCUUUCUAAGUCAGGGGUGAAAUCCCGGGGCUCAACCCCGGAACUGCCUUUGAUACUGGUAGUCUCGAGUCCGGAAGAGGUGAGUGGAAUUCCUGGUGUAGCGGUGAAAUGCGCAGAUAUCAGGAGGAACACCAGCGGCGAAGGCGGCGCUCUGGGCCGGUACUGACGCUGAGGAGCGAAAGCGUGGGGAGCAAACAGG
rnacentral:rRNA from 1 species